rnacentral:lncRNA from 1 species
GAUUCGCUGCAUACAUUUAGGGAAUUUCACAGCCACAAUGCAUUGGAAGAAUGGGGCUGCAAGUUUUAAUAGCUAGAUCUCUUCAAGUAAACAACAAAACAACUUGGAAGAUUGCGAAUACCGAAGCCUCUGCGGUGGUUCUCAAAUGAGGUGGAGGGGCAGCUAUCACCUGCAUGGGUGAAAAAGGAGUGGGAGGACCUGAAGCAAAAUACUUACACUUAUUGCUGUGCUUGGCUAAUAAAGUUCCCCUUUUCUCUGAAGCAACAACACUUUCCCAUCUAUUUCCUAUGCUUCACUGGCACAUUCAUGUGUUGAAAGCUCCCCCCACCGGAGUCAGCACGGAGGGAGGGGAGGCCACAGCCACAUCCUGGAAGUGGUAUGUGGGGAUGGGUGAGGCGCUGCAGGGGCUCUCACUCUAUCACCCCACCAGUCAUCAUCUCUUCUGUUCUUCUGUUUUUGGUGAAGUCCUUUAAACUCAAAGUGGAUUUCUGUUUUCUCAUUGAAAAGUGUUUGUUUGUAAUAAAAUAAAAAAAUUGAUACCAG